rnacentral:rRNA from 1 species
GACGAACGCUGGCGGCGUGCCUAAUACAUGCAAGUCGAGCGCAGGAAGCCGUCUGAACCCUUCGGGGGGACGACGGUGGAAUGAGCGGCGGACGGGUGAGUAACACGUAAAGAACCUGCCCAUAGGUCUGGGAUAACCACGAGAAAUCGGGGCUAACACCGGAUGUGUCAUCGGACCGCAUGGUCCGCUGAUGAAAGGCGCUCCGGCGUCGCCCAUGGAUGGCUUUGCGGUGCAUUAGCUAGUUGGUGGGGUAACGGCCCACCAAGGCGACGAUGCAUAGCCGACCUGAGAGGGUGAUCGGCCACACUGGGACUGAGACACGGCCCAGACUCCUACGGGAGGCAGCAGUAGGGAAUCUUCCACAAUGGACGAAAGUCUGAUGGAGCAACGCCGCGUGAACGAUGAAGGCUUUCGGGUCGUAAAGUUCUGUUGUAAGGGAAGAACAAGUGCCGCAGGCAAUGGCGGCACCUUGACGGUACCUUGCGAGAAAGCCACGGCUAACUACGUGCCAGCCGCCGCCGUAAAAC